rnacentral:lncRNA from 10 species
UGUACCACUUUUCUAGCAUUUUGCUUGUCCUCUCUACAUUGAGUCAUGUUAAGUUAUUGAAAGCAAAAGAAACUUAGGGUGAUAUAGGUUUGCUCUUCAAAAUACUUUUAUCUUUCACAAUUCUGUUCUGCUGUACUGCACACCACCUACUGUGGUACAAACCAAACAAAAAAGCCCAAAUUGUUAUUCUGUUUCCACACAUCCUUGGGGUCUUGGCCUAAUGUUCUGAGAAAUACCUGCUUAGCAACAACUUAAAAUAUAUGUUUAAUGCUUCUCCCUAUACUUUUUUUUUUUUGGAGACGGAGUUUCACUCUUGUCGCCCAGGCUGGAGUGCAGUGGUGUGAUCUCGGCUCACUGCAGCCUCUGCCUCCCAGGUUCAAGCGAUUCUCCUGCCUCAGCCUCCCAAGUAGCUGGGAUUACAGGUGCCCUCCACCACACCAGGCAAAUUUCUGUAUUUUUAGUAGAGACGGGGUUUUGCCAUGUUGGGCAGGCUGGUCUCGAACUCCUGACCUCAGGUGAUCCACCCUCCUCGGCCUCCCAAAAUGCUGGGAUUACAGGUGUGAGCCACUGUGCCCAGUUAUUUUGUCUAUUUUUAGCCUCCUGAGCAGUCAUGCUGUCAUAGUUUAGUCACUUCUAACAUCUUUCUGAACAAAAAGCAAACUAGGAGCUGGUUGUAAAGGUGCUGAUAAUGAUGACUUAUUAACUGUAGCGUUCUUUAGCUACCGUGGUGGUUUUCAACCUUGGCUGUACCUCAGAAUCCCUUGGGAACAUUUUAAACUCCCAGAGUCUAGGCUGCACCCCAGACCAAUUAAAUCGGAAUCCUGGGGUGGGACCCAAUCCUCAGUGAUGCUUAAAGCCUGCCAGUUGAUUCCAAAGUAUAGCCAACAUUGAGAACCACUGAUCUGGAAGACAAAUAACUGAUUUUCCAGCUGCUAGUCAACAGCAUUUCCCCCUUGUCCAUGACAAUAUUCUUGAUUGGACUUCAGAUUUAGAGGUUUAGAUAUGUCUGUCUGUUCUUACACUGUUAGUGUUGACCCUAUACCACUGGAACACUGGCCCAGCUCACUAACCUGGAAACCAUGCACUCUUAUUAACUAAACUUCUGAAAGUGGAGUGAGCAGGGAGAGAAUUCUAGUUCUCGUUUGAUAGUGUUACAGUUGCUCCUACAAUUUACAGCUGUGGACAAGUCCACCCAAACUCUUUUUGAUCUAAACUCACUACUGUGUAAUCUCAUUUAAUCACUUGGCUUUGGAUAUACUCUAUGUGACAAUGCAUCCCUAUUACUAGCUCCUUUAGGAGAAUCAGUUUUCCCCCAGUGUGGGUUUUCCCUUCCUCAAACUUUAAAUUUCAUCCAACCACCAAAAUAAUUUUCUCCUUUGAAACAAGAGUUCCAGGGGUAUUUUCCUAGUAAAGAACAAUGUGGAAGAUGGCCUCCAGAAAGGCCCUGCUGUU